AGCGCAACCCUUAUCCCUAGUUGCCCAUCAGGUAAAGCUGGGAACUCUGGGGAGACUGCCGGUGAUAAACCGGAGGAAGGCGGGGAUGACGUCAAGUCCUCAUGGCCCUUACAUCCCGGGCUACACACGUGCUACAAUGGCAGGUACAGAGGGCUGCGAAGCCGCGAGGUGGAGCGAAUCCCAGAAAACCUGUCUCAGUCCGGAUUGAAGUCUGCAACUCGACUUCAUGAAGGCGGAAUCGCUAGUAACCGCGAAUCAGCAGGUCGCGGUGAAUACGUUCCCGGGUCUU
rnacentral:rRNA from 1 species